CAACGUGGGUAACCUGCCCAAGAGACUGGGAUAACACCUGGAAACAGAUGCUAAUACCGGAUAACAACACUAGACGCAUGUCUAGAGUUUAAAGAUGGUUCUGCUAUCACUCUUGGAUGGACCUGCGGUGCAUUAGCUAGUUGGUAAGGUAACGGCUUACCAAGGCAAUGAUGCAUAGCCGAGUUGAGAGACUGAUCGGCCACAUUGGGACUGAGACACGGCCCAAACUCCUACGGAAGGCAGCAG
rnacentral:rRNA from 1 species